UUUUCUGAUUGAGAAAUAAAAGUUCAGUGAUGUUGCAUUGCAUUCUUUCUAUGAUUAGUUUGAAUCAUGAUAUAGCUAUAUGGAUAUUGUUAUGUCUAUUAAGACAAUGUUGUUUUCAGAAUUUAAAGGGCAUCUGUUAUAAUUUUCUUUUGAAGAUGAUGUCAGGUUCUUGCAUACNNNNNNNNNNNNNNNNNNNNAUAUAUAUAUAUAUAUAUAUAUAUAUAUAUAUCUAUAUGGAUAUAGAUAACCAGAAGUACUAAAACUUUUAUUUUCUUUUAUCUCUAUUUCCAGUUUUGACUCCUGUGAACUUAGGGAGUGUGAUGCCUUUGAAUGGUAGCAACUAUAGGACCUGGAGAGAUGAUAUAGACCUAAACCUAGCUCAACAGAAUGUAGAUUGGUGUCUGAGUGUCCCAAUGCUUGCUGAAAAUGGUGCAGCUAGAGAUAACUGGGUGAGAGCAAAUAAGAUCUGUAAGCUCACUAUUAUGAGGACUAUGUCUGAUGUUGUGAAAGGUGGUAUUCCCGAGAAAGAGAUAGCUAGUGAGUACCUUACUGCCAUAGCUGAGAGGUUCACGAUUAGUGACAAGGCUGAGACUGCCAUGUUGUUAGACCAGUUGCAUGGUAUGAGGUAUGAGAUGAAGAUGAACAUCAGGGAGUAUAUUCUGAAGAUGAUUGAUAUUGGAGCUAAGCUCACUGCCCUUAAGAUGACCAUGGAGGAAGACAUGAUUGUGAUGCUAGUUCUGAAAUCCCUCCCUGUUGAAUUUGAUCAGCUUAAGACCACCUACACCACUCAAAAAGACAAGUGGACUUUGAAUGAGCUAAUUGCUAUAUGUGUCCAGGAGCAUGAGAGAAUUAAGGUCACCAUCCAGAGUAGGAGUUGAAGCUGUAAGAUUUGUUAAGUCAGUUUUGAGGCCAGAAGGUCUUUUCUAUUUUUUAGAGCAAGUGUAUUAUGCUAUUUCCAUGUCUUGGAACUUAUUUUUUCAGUUACUGUUUUUGCCUUUUGGGUUAAAGACAAUUAACAUUUUGUUAUUGUUAUAGUUGGAAUGAAAAUAAAUCGUGAUUCUUUUAUCUUGUGACUGUAAAGUUCAUUGAGGAUAUUACAGUCGUCAAUCAACAGGGGUUCUGUGUUGGUCUAUUUUGCAAAUAUAUAGUGUAUGGUUUCUUGUUUUAUUGUAUUUGGAUGGCCAACUGACAUGUUCUUAUAGGGUUUUAUGAGAUUAGUUCGGGAAAUUGGUUUUAUGGUUUAUGUUUUACUGCAUAAGAAUAUUGGCAAGUUCUUUACUGGUGUUUUGGUAUAACUGUAAACUAUAUGACUGAUUAGAUGAACUCAAUUAAUAUCUUGANNNNNNNNNNNNNNNNNNNNCAUAAGGUAAUUGAUUAGUUUAUUAGAGUUGCCUUGUGAGAUGAGAUUCUAAGUGAAUUUGUCAAUAUAUAAAGGUCCAUGUGUAAGCUCAUUCUACGCCUGUAAGUUUUCAUACUCACUGUGAAGAGGCAAUCUGGAGAAUUACACAGAAGACUUCCUCUGCUCUAGCUUGAUGGCGUUGAACAUGAACAACCAAGGUUGGUGCUUCUAAUUCUUAUACAUGUUUAUAUGUUCUUGUUUUGCUGAAACAUGAUGCAAUGUGUUUAUGUCUAUAUGUGGUUUUCAGUUCAAUAGUUUUAGAGCUCUUCUUUGAAGUAAUGAAAUACAUAACCAGAUAUUGCAAUAAACGAAGUAUGUACGUAGCUGAUGGACGCUUGGCUGCCAUGGGAUCAGUGCAUCACUCCUCUUCAGCUCCAUUAGAGUUGGCAUUUCUUAUUUUCUUUUUUCUUUAAAUAUCUAAUCUGCUUUUCGUUCUCCUUGUCAUUGUUGUUCUUCUUAGAAAAAUAUAUAAUAAAAUCUCCAAUGAUUAUGAAGUAUGUACCCUAGCUUAUUCCACAAAAUUCUGUCAAAUUCGUAAAGUAAGGAAACACCAGACCAAUAUUACAUGCUCACAAGUUGAAAGAAAACCUCAUCCACAUGUGUGCCUUGUCACGCAAGUGACCUAAUGUUUUGAGUUUAAAAACCUCGAUUAUUUACAAGCAUAUUCAUCGAUAUUUAGUUCUUUCAGACAUAUAAUGUAUCAAGAAAAAGACCAACACAAGAUCAAAACAAGAUUAAUGUGGCAUUCAUGAUUUCCCAGAAUUGAUCUCAAUCCUCCCUAAAGUGAGAGCUUGGGGAGGUGAUCAGGAUUACUACCUAUACCAAGGCUUUGGUACCCCACGUACGUUGUUCCUUCAAGGUGUCAUUUGGGCACAGCAAAGUUUCAGGGCUACAGAAACUGGCAUAUUCUUGGCCAUGCCACCUUUCCGAAGUGCAGUACACCAUGGCUCAAGGCUCUCAUGUCUGCUAUCCAAAAUGAUAUCGAAAUUACCAAUCCCAAUCCAAUCAUCCAUUGCUCACAAACAAUCCCCAUGAUUGUGUGCCCUUCCUAGAGUUGCUAGCUCACAAAGAUAACCCAAACGCCUACCUUGAAUCUCUUCUUUCACCUAGAUUGCUUGCAAUGGCCACAGUUCUUACCCUAGACUCCAUUUGGAAUACCUCGGGCACACGGCCGGAUUGUGUACAUUGCAUUUGUAAGGAAUCCUAAAGAUAUUCUUGUUUCUCUAUGGAGGUUUACACAGAAAGUUGGACAACAAGCAGUUUCAAAUGGCCAACUAUUCGAUCGGUCACCUCUCUUCCUACAGAAGAGGCAUUUGAGUUGUUUUGGUAAAAGGGUAAUCACUAGAGUUGUGGACUUAUGGUUUUCAACUUUAACACUUCUUAUGGAAAUUGGUUCUCUUCUAUACUUUAGAGACCGGUAUUGUGGUGUAUCAUUGCAGAACUUAUAUUCUACAGCUUCUAGUUUUAAAUCAUGACCACAGCUUCUAGUUUCAAAAGAAAACUAAAAUACGAAAGAAUAGAUAUACGAGGAUUAUCAGGUGCGGACGUCCGCACCGCCUUAAAGUGCGGAUUUCCCUCCAUUCGCCACCCUACGGCGCCGGUGAGGGCGCGCCUCCACCCCAGCAGAUUCCAACAGCGUCCCCGACCACUUUCCCUCCCCGGCGAGUUCGCCGAAUUCCAGUUUUCUGGCGAAAUCACCCAAAACUUCAAACAAAGUCAAUCUGGCCGGAAAACUGGAAUUUGGUGAACUCGCUGGGGAUGGAAAGUGGUCGGGGAAGCUGCUGGAGUCCGCUGGGGUAGAGGCGCGCCCUCGCCGGCGCCCUAGGGUGGUGAACGGAGGGAAAUCCGCACCUUAAGGCGGUGCGGACGUCCGUAUCUGAAACAGACUGUAUAUAUAUAUAUAUAUAUAUAUANNNNNNNNNNNNNNNNNNNNUUGGGUGAUCUCGCUGGAAAACUGGAAUUCGGUGGACUCGCCGGGUAGGAAAAGUGAUCUUGGACUCUGCUGGAGUCCGUUGGGGUGGCGGCGCGCAAUCGUCGGAGCCGGACGGUGGCGAACAGAGCUCCGUGCGCACUUACGCACGUGCGCUUCAUAUCCGGCCUCUAUAUAUAUAUAUAUACAAUCCUUCUCAGCUGCGGACAUCCGCAUUUAUUCUAACGGUGCGGAUUUCUACUUUACACUCACUUUUCAAUCGAAUUUUCACAUCUCCACCGUCUAGUAUUUAGAUAUUAAUGUACAGAUCAUCUCUGCAAAAUUUCAGCCAAUUUGGUUAUCAUUAAGACACUCAAAACUGCGUUUUUCUGUUAUAAACAUGAACGGUUCAAGUUCGACAGAAUUAUGUUCAUCCAUUUGUUUAAUUGAGUUUGAGUGCUUUAAUGAUAACCAAAUUGGCUGAAAUUUUACAGAGAUGAUCUAUACAUUAGUAUCUAAAUACUAGACAGUGAAGAUGUGAAAAUUUAAUUGAAAAGCGAGUGUAAAAUGGAAAUCCGCACCGUAAGAAUAAAUGCAGACAUCCGCACCUGAGAAAAUCUGUAUAAAUAUAUAUAUAUAUAUACAGCCCUUCUCGGCUGCGGACGUCCGCACCAAUGGUUUUGGUGCGGAUUUCUAUUUUUGCACCACUUUUCGAUCGAAUUUCCUCAUCUCUACCGUCUAGUAUCUAGAUAAUAUUGUGUAGAUCAUCUCUGCAAAAUUUCAGCCAAUUUGGUGAUCGUUAAGGCCCUUAAAAUUGUGUUUUCUGGUAUAAACAUGAACCGGACAGAAUUCAGUCCGUUCAUUUGUUUUUCGAGUUUGAGGGCCUUAACGAUUACCAAAUUGGCUGAAAUUUUGCAGAGAUGAUCUACACAAUAUUAUCUAGAUACUAGACGGUGGAGAUGAGGAAAUUAGAUCGAAAAGUGGUGUAAAAAUGGAAAUCAACACCAAAACUUUGUUGCGGACGUCCGCAACUGAGAAAAAUCGUGUGUAUAUAUAUAUAUAUUGAUGCUAUGAUCAUGAUGCGCAAAUAGUAUGACAACUUCAUAACCUUUUAAGCAUGUCUUAUUUAUAGCUGAUGUACUGACAUACUCAUACACAGAGGCCUAAGAUAAACCCUACUAGCUAGAAUCGAAAAGCAUGAAUUGGAGUGAAUCGAAACAAAGCUUGAUUGAGCAGAAUUAUGAAUUGGAGUGAACAGAAUAUAUAGAUACAUGUACCUUAGGAGAUAUAGCAGCUGGUGUCCGGCCGAGUCUGGAUCGUUGUCGUCGUCGUCGUCGUCGCCAGAGAGAUGAGACAAGACUCACUCAGAACGUUUUUUUUCGAUGAAGGAACGUUGAACAAUGGUUCUCAAAAAAAUAAACGUGGAACAAUGGACUAUAGACGACUCGUCGUUUUUGUGUUUUUAAAUGGUGAACCCCCAGUCCGUUUAGCCCACCACGGCCCCGACCACCUAGACGCGUCUCGUGUCCGCCUAGCCCGUUAAAAGCCCAAUUCGCUUUAUUUUUUAAAUUAUUAUCAUUAUUAUUAUUUUUUAUGAAUGGCGACCGACGAGAACAGCCGCGGGGGCGGGGGGGUGGGACGGCGUUUAGCAAUGUAGGCGCCUAACACAGACGCCCACCACAAGGAUGGUAUUAGAGAGUAAGAACCCUCUCCCCUAAGUGAUGCGUUUGAUUUGUUUUGUAUGAUGUUCAUAAUCUCAAUCCAUCUGGGUUUCUAGCUACUGCUUGUGGUGUUUUGGUGUGAUUUUUGGAGGUUGCAUUAUAAGAUCAAUUUGAAGGAACAUGAGAAAAAGAUGUAGGAGGAAUCAAU
rnacentral:lncRNA from 1 species